CCAAUAGCGUAUAUUAAAGUUGUUGCAGUUAAAAAGCUCGUAGUUGAAUUUCGGGAUCAAUAUGCCGGUCAUGCCUUGGUAUGUACUGGUAUCUUUGAUUUCUCCCUUCUGACGAACUUUGAUGUCAUUAAUUUGGUGUCAUAGGGAAUCAGGACUGUUACUUUGAAAAAAUUAGAGUGUUUAAAGCAAGCUCACGCUUGAAUACAUUAGCAUGGAAUAA
rnacentral:rRNA from 1 species